AUCUAAGUUUUGCAUUGAACAAAUGCUAGAUCCAUGAUAGAAUCGCUGUACACAUUCUUUCUUCGUCCGAAGAUCAUACACUAAUACACUUUUAUUUCGACAUCCAGCAAUGACUAAGUUGUCACCCAAAUAUUUAAGACUGAAUACGUCUCCUUUAGAUUGCAAACUUUGCGUUAAUUUUCCCUCUCGAUUAAUUAUUGCAAUUUUUGAGGUGCCACCAACUGCAAAGCCCAUCUCUCCAAUACUUUCUGCACAUAAAGGGGUUUUCAAAAGUUUAAGAGAUCCCCAACGGUAAUUAUUGGAUUCACCCAAUAGCUGGUUAUAAGUAGAUAUAUGAAAUUGUCCCUCAUUCUGCAGAGAAGGAGAUGUAGACCAGAAAAUUUGCAUUGCGUUACAUACCAAAGAAGAAAUGGGAUUAUUAGAGAGGCCUAUCCUUGACAAGGAAAAAUCCUGA